AGGGAGUCCCAUCGCUUGCAGACGAGUCUACACCGGCAUGCGGAUCUAGGGUUGGGGAGGCGAAUGAGAAUCCAUGCGCCCUUGAUGGCGAAUCAGAAUCUCUCCGGAGGCGAAUCAUAAUCUCUGCGACGGCAUAGCCUGGAUCUAGGGUUGUCAUUUUCUGGAACAGCUACGUGGUUCUCUUAGCAGCAUCCAAUCUGAGAUGCAGUUCUCGAUCGUCAUGAUGUAGAGAGAUGG
rnacentral:lncRNA from 1 species